UACGUAGGUGGCAAGCGUUAUCCGGAAUUAUUGGGCGUAAAGCGCGCGCAGGCGGUUUCUUAAGUCUGAUGUGAAAGCCCACGGCUCAACCGCGGAGGGUCAUUGGAAACUGGGGAACUUGAGUGCAGAAGAGAAAAGCGGAAUUCCACGUGUAGCGGUGAAAUGCGUAGAGAUGUGGAGGAACACCAGUGGCGAAGGCGGCCGGCUGGGCCGGAUCCGACGCUGAGGCGCGAAAGCGUGGGGAGCAAACAGG
rnacentral:rRNA from 1 species